GACCCCAAAAUUGUCAGCCUAGAAAAUAAUUCUUACCUUUGAAACUAAAACAAAAGAUAUAUAAAAAAAGGCAUUACAAAAGUGGCCCCAAAACCUAAUUUAAUUUUUUUAUAUAUAUAUGCUUUGUAAAGUCAAAUGCUAGUUUUAAUGGGCACAUUUGUAUAAGAGAGGAGGAACUUUACAUUAGCCGUAAGCUUUUUUUUUUUACAAAUUUUGAAUAUCAUCGGACAAUUGACAAAUCUCACAUCUCAAGUCUUAAGACAUCGUUUUUUUAAGCACUAUAUAUAAUCCAUCUUAACGCACACAAAUCAAAAGUAAUAAUCUAAUAAAUACCAAAUAAAAAGGUGACGAAAUUACAAAACAAAUAUUUGAAGAGUGGCGGUGUAACAGUACGCAGAAAUCCAAGCUGGUUAGUGUAAG
rnacentral:lncRNA from 1 species